AUUGAACGCUGGCGGCAGGCCUAACACAUGCAAGUCGAGCGGCAGCGACUUAACUGAACCUUCGGGGAAUGUUAAGGGCGGCGAGCGGCGGACGGGUGAGUAAUGCCUGGGAAUAUGCCCUGAUGUGGGGGAUAACUAUUGGAAACGAUAGCUAAUACCGCAUAAUCUCUUCGGAGCAAAGAGGGGGACCUUCGGGCCUCUCGCGUCAGGAUUAGCCCAGGUGGGAUUAGCUUGUUGGUGAGGUAAUGGCUCACCAAGACAACGAUCCCUAGCUGGUCUGAGAGGAUGAUCAGCCACACUGGAACUGAGACACGGUCCAGACUCCUACGGGAGGCAGCAGUGGGGAAUAUUGCACAAUGGGGGAAACCCUGAUGCAGCCAUGCCGCGUGUGUGAAGAAGGCCUUCGGGUUGUAAAGCACUUUCAGUAGGGAGGAAGGUAGUGUAGUUAACACCUGCAUUAUUUGACGUUACCUACAGAAGAAGCACCGGCUAACUCCGUGCCAGCAGCCGCGGUAAUACGGAGGGUGCGAGCGUUAAUCGGAAUUACUGGGCGUAAAGCGCAUGCAGGCGGCCUGUUAAGUCAGAUGUGAAAGCCCGGGGCUUAACCUCGGAAUUGCAUUUGAAACUGGCAGGCUAGAGUCUUGUAGAGGGGGGUAGAAUUUCAGGUGUAGCGGUGAAAUGCGUAGAGAUCUGAAGGAAUACCAGUGGCGAAGGCGGCCCCCUGGACAAAGACUGACGCUCAGAUGCGAAAGCGUGGGGAGCAAACAGG
rnacentral:rRNA from 1 species